rnacentral:rRNA from 1 species
AACGCGAAGAACCUUUCCAAGGCUUGACAUAUAGAGGAAAAGUGCAGAAAUGCACUCCCCGCAAGGUCUCUAUACAGGUGGUGCAUGGUUGUCGUCAGCUCGUGUCGUGAGAUGUUGGGUUAAAUCCCGCAACGAGCGCAACCCUCUUCUUAUGUUUCCAGCACGUUAAGGUGGGGACUCAUGGGAGACUGCCGGGGUCAACUCGGAGGAAGGUGGGGAUGACGUCAAAUCAUCAUGCCCCUUAUGUCUUGGGCUUCCCCCAUGCUACAAUGGCCAGUACAAAGGGGUGCAAUACCGUAAGGUGGAGCGAAUCCCAAAAAGCUGGUCUCAGUUCGGAUUGAGGUCUGCAACUCGACCUCAUGAAGUCGGAAU